rnacentral:rRNA from 1 species
CAUGUGUGAGUACAGACUGUACAACGGUGAAACUGCGAAUGGCUCAUUAGAUCAGUUAUGGUUCCUUAGAUCGUACAAUCCUACUUGGAUAACUGUGGCAAUUCUAGAGCUAAUACAUGCUGACAACGUCCGACCUCGCGGGAGGACUGCUUUUAUUAGAUCAAAACCAAUCGGGUGCAGUCGUUCGCGGCGGCCCGUCGUUUUGGUGACUCUGGAUAACUUUGUGCCGAUCGCACGGCCUUCGAGCCGGCGACGAGUCUUUCAAAUGUCUGACCUAUCAAAUGUCGAUGGUAAGUGACCUGCUUACCAUGUUAGUAACGGGUAACGGGGAAUCAGGGUUCGAUUCCGGAGAGGGAGCAUGAGAAACGGCUACC